GACAGAGGGUGCAAACGUUGUUCGGAAUUACUGGGCGUAAAGCGCGUGUAGGCUGCUCUGCAAGUCGGAUGUGAAAGCCCUGGGCUCAACCUAGGAAGUGCACUCGAAACUGCAUUGCUAGAGUAUGGGAGAGGGAAGUGGAAUUUCCGGUGUGGCGGUGAAAUGCGUAGAUAUCGGAAGGAACAUCAGUGGCGAAAGCGACUUCCUGGACCAAUACUGACGCUCAUGUGCGAAAGCGUGGGGAGCAAACAGGG
rnacentral:rRNA from 1 species